rnacentral:rRNA from 1 species
GAUGAACGCUGGCGGCGUGCCUAAUACAUGCAAGUCGAGCGAACAGACGAGGAGCUUGCACCUCUGACGUUAGCGGCGGACGGGUGAGUAACACGUGGAUAACCUACCUAUAAGACUGGGAUAACUUCGGGAAACCGGUGCUAAUACCGGAUAAUAAAUUUAAACGCAUGGUUCAAUAGUGAAAGACGGUUUUGCUGUCACUUAUAGAUGGAUCCGCGCCGCAUUAGAUAGUUGGUAAGGUAACGGCUUACCAAGGCAACGAUGCGUAGCCGACCUGAGAGGGUGAUCGGCCACACUGAAACUGAGACACGGUCCAGACUCCUACGGGGGGCAGCAGUAGGGAAUCUGCCGCAAUGGGCGAAAGCCUGACGGAGCAACGCCGCGUGAGUGAUGAGGGUCUUCGGAUCAUAAAACUCUGUUAUUAGGGAAGAACAAGUGUGUAAGUAACUAUGCACGUCUGGACGGUACCUAAUCAGAAAGCAACAGCUAACUACGU